rnacentral:tRNA from 1 species
GAGGGUAUGGCUCAGUGGUAGAAUGUGUGCCUAGCCUAGUAUGCACGAGGUCCUGAGUUCAAUCCCCAGUACCUCCA